UACGGAGGGUGCAAGCGUUGUCCGGAUUUAUUGGGUUUAAAGGGCGCGUAGGCGGCCAGCACAAGUCAGUUGUGAAAUCUCCGAGCUUAACUCGGAACGGUCAACUGAUACUGUGCGGCUAGAGUGCGGAAGGGGCAACUGGAAUUCUUGGUGUAGCGGUGAAAUGCGUAGAUAUCAAGAGGAACACCUGCGGCGAAGGCGGGUUGCUGGGCCGACACUGACGCUGAUGCGCGAAAGCCAGGGGAGCGAACGGG
rnacentral:rRNA from 1 species